GCGGGUGUAGCUCAAUUGGUUAGAGCGCUCGGUUGUGGUCCGAGAGGUUGCGGGUUCAAGUCCCGUCACUCGCCCCA
rnacentral:tRNA from 1 species